AUUGCCAAUAGUGAAAUUGACAAGAAAUUGUUUGUUAAUAAGAAAAAACAAAAGAUCAGAAAUGUUAUGAAACUAGUCUGUACUUACAAUGCAUUGAUUUGUAAACGAAAUACAGGUAAAGACAAUUUAGAAUCAGCAGAAAAAGAAGUAGAUUUGAAUGGGUUAACAGAAGACAAAUCAGAUUUAAAUGAACAGUGUAACAAUGUAACAGAGAGAACAUUGUCAGAAACAGUCUGUGAAUUAGAGGAUAGAGUUGAACUAAGAAAUGAUCUUAUUUGCCAGCUUAGAAAUGAAGUUAAACUAGUGUGUGUUAAUACCAGAAAAAUACAGGCACAGAAUCUAAUCCCAGAACCAAUAGAUACUGAAAAUGUAUCCUCACAGAGUGAUUUGCAGAAAUAUAAAUUUCAAGACAGAACUGCAAAACUUAAUUUGAAAAUACAUGAACAAUUAAUGAAAAUUGUGAAAUGUAUUCCAGUUUAUGACACGUCAGUGGAUACAUUCACUAAUGCUGAAAUGUUUGAGUCUAAUUUAGACAAAUACAGCCUAAAUGACGAACAAAGGAAUAGACUAUUUCAAAUAUGGCUGCCGACUCAAAUGGCAUGUAGACUGACCGCGCCCCUAAGAUUUCAGGACAAUGAUGAAAUAAUAUAUGGAAAUAAGCGAGACAGAUUAACACAAUUAAUAAAAUUAACAACAGGGAAUGAUUUUGCAG
rnacentral:lncRNA from 1 species